AUUGAACGCUGGCGGCAGGCCUAACACAUGCAAGUCGAGCGGUAGAGAGGUGCUUGCAUCUCUUGAGAGCGGCGGACGGGUGAGUAAUGCCUAGGAAUCUGCCUAGUGGUGGGGGAUAACGUUCGGAAACGGACGCUAAUACCGCAUACGUCCUACGGGAGAAAGCGGGGGAUCUUCGGACCUCGCGCCAUUAGAUGAGCCUAGGUCGGAUUAGCUAGUUGGUGAGGUAAUGGCUCACCAAGGCGACGAUCCGUAACUGGUCUGAGAGGAUGAUCAGUCACACUGGAACUGAGACACGGUCCAGACUCCUACGGGAGGCAGCAGUGGGGAAUAUUGGACAAUGGGCGAAAGCCUGAUCCAGCCAUGCCGCGUGUGUGAAGAAGGGUCUUCGGAUUGUAAAGCACUUUAAGUUGGAGGAAGGGUAGUAACCUAAUACGUUGCUACUUUGACGUUACCGACAGAAUAAGCAACCGGCUAACUUCGUGCCAGCAG
rnacentral:rRNA from 1 species